rnacentral:rRNA from 1 species
ACAUGCAAGUCGAACGAGAAAGUGGAGCAAUCCAUGAGUAAAGUGGCGACCGGGUGAGUAACACGUGACUAACCUGCCUUCGAGUGGGGGAUAACCUCGGGAAACCGGGGCUAAUACCGCAUAAUGCCUACGGGUUAAAGGAGCAAUUCGCUUGAAGAGGGGGUCGCGGCUGAUUAGCUAGUUGGCGGGGUAACGGCCCACCAAGGCGAUGAUCGGUAGCCGGCCUGAGAGGGCGCACGGCCACACUGGAACUGAAACACGGUCCAGACUCCUACGGGAGGCAGCAGUGGGGAAUUUUGCGCAAUGGGGGAAACCCUGACGCAGCAACGCCGCGUGGAGGAUGAAGUCCUUUGGGACGUAAACUCCUUUCGACCGGGACGAUAAUGACGGUACCGGUGGAAGAAGCCCCGGCUAACUUCGUGCCAGCAGCCGCGGUAAUACGAGGGGGGCAAGCGUUGUUCGGAAUUAAUGGGCGUAAAGGGCGCGUACGCGGUGCGGUAAGUCACCUGUGAA